rnacentral:rRNA from 1 species
UACGUAGGGUGCAAGCGUUGUCCGGAAUUAUUGGGCGUAAAGAGCUCGUAGGCGGUCUGUCACGUCGGCUGUGAAAACCCGGGGCUCAACCCCGGGCCUGCAGUCGAUACGGGCAGACUAGAGUGCGGUAGGGGAGACUGGAAUUCCUGGUGUAGCGGUGAAAUGCGUAGAGAUCGGGAGGAACACCUGUGGCGAAGGCGGCCGGCUGGGGGUACCCUGACGCUGAGGCGCGACAGCGUGGGGAGCGAACCGG